AUUGUUUUCGAGGUCUCUCGUAGACGGCUGUGGCUUCAAGCCAUCAACAAAGCUGACUGGACUGGGAAGAUCAUUUCAACUCACGGAUUUGCAGCAAACACACAGUAUAUAGAAAACAUUAUUACAGAAGAAGGUCAGACAGGUUUUGAAGACACGAGGUCCUCGUGGUGGCGUAGUGACUCAAUCUGGGUGGCGGAGGACGAAUCUCAGUUGCCUCCGCGUCUGAGAAUGUCAAUCUGUGCAUCUUAUCAUGUGACUUGUUGAGCGCGUUACCACGGAGAUGUAGCGCGUGUGGAGGCCCACGCUAUUUUCCACGGCAUCCAUGCACAACUCACCACGUGCCCCACCGAGAGCGAACCACAUUAUGCCGACCACGAGGAGGUUACCCCAUGUGACUCUACCCUCCCUAGCAACCGAGCCAAUUUGGUUGCUUAGGAGACCUGACUGGAGUCACUCUGGAUUCGAACUCAAGAUCCAGGGGUGGUAGUCAGUGUCAGUACUCGCUGAGCUACCCAGGCCCCCUGCUUACUACAUUCUUAAUACUGCACAGUAUAUAGAGCAUACUGUCUGCUAUUUCAAAAAUAGUACGUUGAAACGGUAAAGUAAAACAGAAAAAAAGAAAGAGGUUAUGUUUGUAACAGAAUACUAGCUUACUGAAUACUGUGCAGCAUAUACUGUAUACAAGGGCGUAGAUUUGGCUUGAACAUUGGGUGGGUUGCAGCGUGAAGCAUUUACCCAUGUUUCCAUUGAUCAUGGUAUAAAUAAUGCUGGGGAGUUGUAGUACUUGCUGUAGAAUCUACGUCCCUGACUGUAUACUGCCUACUAUACCAUUUAAAAAAAAAUGGUGAAAUGUAAGCAUUAUGCAAAGAUAAAUGUUUCAAACAGCAAUUUGCUACGUUGUUGUCACAUGACCUCAUAAUGUUGCAUGUGAGUGAUGUCCAGUUAUAUUCUUGGAAGUUGUUUAUUUUGCAUUUGAAAUUACAUUUUGUGUAAAAAAAUAAAUAAAAUUAAAUAAAACAAAAACUCAACUUUUUGUCAGUCUAAUCAAAUAAUGGGCCAAAAAAACCAACAAAAAAAAAAACAAAUAGAUA